rnacentral:rRNA from 1 species
AUACGUAGGGGGCAAGCGUUAUCCGGAAUUAUUGGGCGUAAAGAGUGCGUAGGUGGUUUUGUAAGCGCGGGGUGAAAGGCUAUGGCUCAACCAUAGUAAGCCUUGCGAACUGUGAGACUUGAGUGCAGGAGAGGAAAGUGGAAUUCCUAGUGUAGCGGUGAAAUGCGUAGAUAUUAGGAGGAACACCAGUGGCGAAGGCGACUUUUUGGACUGUAACUGACACUGAGGCCCGAAAGAGUGGGGAGCAAACAGGAUUAGAUACCCUGGUAGUCCACGCCGUAAACGAUGAGCACUAGGUGUCGGGGCCGCAAGGUUUCGGUGCCGCAGUUAACGCAUUAAGUGCUCCGCCUGGGGAGUACGCACGCAAGUGUAAAACUCAAAUGAAUUGACGGGG